AUACGGAGGAUCCGAGCGUUAUCCGGAUUUAUUGGGUUUAAAGGGAGCGUAGGCGGACGCUUAAGUCAGUUGUGAAAGUUUGCGGCUCAACCGUAAAAUUGCAGUUGAUACUGGGUGUCUUGAGUACAGUAGAGGCAGGCGGAAUUCGUGGUGUAGCGGUGAAAUGCUUAGAUAUCACGAAGAACUCCGAUUGCGAAGGCAGCCUGCUGGACUGUAACUGACGCUGAUGCUCGAAAGUGCGGGUAUCAAACAGGAUUAGAUACCCUGGUAGUCCGCACAGUAAACGAUGAAUACUCGCUGUUUGCGAUACACGGUAAGCGGCCAAGCGAAAGCGUUAAGUAUUCCACCUGGGGAGUACGCCGGCAACGGUGAAACUCAAAGGAAUUGACGGGG
rnacentral:rRNA from 1 species